UACGUAGGGGGCUAGCGUUGUCCGGAAUCAUUGGGCGUAAGGCGCGUGUAGGCGGUCCGGUAAGUCCGCUGUGAAAGUCGGGGGCUCGACCCUCGAAUGCCGGUGGAUACUGUCGGGCUAGAGUGCGGAAGAGGCGAGCGGAAUUCCUGGUGUAGUGGUGAAAUGCGUAGAGAUCCGGAGGAACACCAGAGGCGAAGGCGGCCGGCUGGACCUGACCUGACGCUGAGGCACGAAGGCGUGGGGAGCGAACGGG
rnacentral:rRNA from 1 species